UCCCAGAUGGUCCUGUGGUUAAGACUGUGCUUUCAAUGCAGGAGGCAAGGGUUCGAUCCCUGUUCAGGGAA
rnacentral:tRNA from 1 species